UGGGGAAUAUUGGACAAUGGGGGCAACCCUGAUCCAGCAAUGCCGCGUGAGUGAUGAAGGCCUUAGGGUUGUAAAGCUCUUUCGCACGCGACGAUGAUGACGGUAGCGCGAGAAGAAGCCCCGGCUAACUUCGUGCCAGCAGCCGCGGUAAUACGAAGGGGGCGAGCGUUGUUCGGAAUUACUGGGCGUAAAGGGCGCGUAGGCGGCCUGUUUAGUCAGAAGUGAAAGCCCCGGGCUUAACCUGGGAAC
rnacentral:rRNA from 1 species